GACAAGAAAUAACAAUACGGGGCUUAAAGUCUUGUAAUUGGAAUGAUGGGAAUUUAAACCUCUUCCAGAGUAUCAAUUGGAGGGCAAGUCUGGUGCCAGCAGCCGCGGUAAUUCCAGCUCCAAUAGCGUAUAUUAAAAUUGUUGCAGUUAAAAAGCUCGUAGUUGAAUUUCUGCUGCAUUGCUUGUGUCCCUCUGGGGUCUGUGCAUGUGGCUUUUUUCGGACGGAGUUUCUUUGUCUGAAUGUUUACUUUGAGAAAAUUAGAGUGCUCAAAGCAGGCUUUCGCCUUGAAUAGUUUAGCAUGGAAUAAUAAAGUAGGACUUUGGUCCUAUUUUGUUGGUUUUAGGUACCAAAGUAAUGGUUAAUAGGAACAGUUGGGGGCAUUCGUAUUUAACUGUCAGAGGUGAAAUUCUUAG
rnacentral:rRNA from 1 species